rnacentral:rRNA from 1 species
UACGUAGGGUGCGAGCGUUAAUCGGAAUUACUGGGCGUAAAGCGUGCGCAGGCGGUUUUGUAAGCCAGAUGUGAAAUCCCCGGGCUUAACCUGGGAAUGGCAUUUGGGACUGCAAGGCUAGAGUGUGGCAGAGGAGACUGGAAUUCCUGGUGUAGCAGUGAAAUGCGUAGAUAUCAGGAGGAAUACCGAUGGCGAAGGCAGGUCUCUGGGCUAGCACUGACGCUCAUGCACGAAAGCGUGGGGAGCAAACAGG